AGCUCAGUUGGUCAGAGCAUGGUGCUAAUAACACCAAGGCUGUAGGUUUGAUCCCUGU
rnacentral:tRNA from 1 species